rnacentral:lncRNA from 1 species
GGUCAUUCAUGGCUAUUUUCGACAAAAUGGGGGUUGUGUGGCCAUUGAUCAUCGACCAGAGGCUCAUACACCUCACCCCACAUAUGUUUCCUUGCCAUAGAUCACAUUCUUGGAUUUCUGGUGGAGACCAUUUCUUGGUCAAAAAUCCGUAGGUGUUAGCCUUCGGUAUUAUUGAAAAUGGUCGUUCAUGGCUAUUUUCGACAAAAAUGGGGGUUGUGUGGCCAUUGAUCAUCGACCAGAGGCUCAUACACCUCACCCCACAUAUGUUUCCUUGCCAUAGAUCACAUUCUUGGAUUUCUGGUGGAGACCAUUUCUUGGUCAAAAAUCCGUAGGUGUUAGCCUUCGUAUUAUUGAAAAUGGUCGUUCAUGGCUAUUUUCGACAAAAAUGGGGGUUGUGUGGCCAUUGAUCAUCGACCAGAGGCUCAUACACCUCACCCCACAUAUGUUUCCUUGCCAUAGAUCACAUUCUUGGAUUUCUGGUGGAGACCAUUUCUUGGUCAAAAAUCCGUAGGUGUUAGCCUUCGUAUUAUUGAAAAUGGUCGUUCAUGGCUAUUUUCGACAAAAAUGGGGGUUGUGUGGCCAUUGAUCAUCGACCAGAGGCUCAUACACCUCACCCCACAUAUGUUUCCUUGCCAUAGAUCACAUUCUUGGAUUUCUGGUGGAGACCAUUUCUUGGUCAAAAAUCCGUAGGUGUUAGCCUUCGUAUUAUUGAAAAUGGUCGUUCAUGGCUAUUUUCGACAAAAAUGGGGGUUGUGUGGCCAUUGAUCAUCGACCAGAGGCUCAUACACCUCACCCCACAUAUGUUUCCUUGCCAUAGAUCACAUUCUUGGAUUUCUGGUGGAGACCAUUUCUUGGUCAAAAAUCCGUAGUGUUAGCCUUCGGUAUUAUUGAAAAUGGUCGUUCAUGGCUAUUUUCGACAAAAUGGGGGUUGUGUGGCCAUUGAUCAUCGACCAGAGGCUCAUACACCUCACCCCACAUAUGUUUCCUUGCCAUAGAUCACAUUCUUGGAUUUCUGGUGGAGACCAUUUCUUGGUCAAAAAUCCGUAGGUGUUAGCCUUCGUAUUAUUGAAAAUGGUCGUUCAUGGCUAUUUUCGACAAAAAUGGGGGUUGUGUGGCCAUUGAUCAUCGACCAGAGGCUCAUACACCUCACCCCACAUAUGUUUCCUUGCCAUAGAUCACAUUCUUGGAUUUCUGGUGGAGACCAUUUCUUGGUCAAAAAUCCGUAGGUGUUAGCCUUCGUAUUAUUGAAAAUGGUCGUUCAUGGCUAUUUUCGACAAAAAUGGGGGUUGUGUGGCCAUUGAUCAUCGACCAGAGGCUCAUACACCUCACCCCACAUAUGUUUCCUUGCCAUAGAUCACAUUCUUGGAUUUCUGGUGGAGACCAUUUCUUGGUCAAAAAUCCGUAGGUGUUAGCCUUCGGUAUUAUUGAAAAUGGUCGUUCAUGGCUAUUUUCGACAAAAAUGGGGGUUGUGUGGCCAUUGAUCAUCGACCAGAGGCUCAUACACCUCACCCCACAUAUGUUUCCUUGCCAUAGAUCACAUUCUUGGAUUUCUGGUGGAGACCAUUUCUUGGUCAAAAAUCCGUAGGUGUUAGCCUUCGUAUUAUUGAAAAUGGUCGUUCAUGGCUAUUUUCGACAAAAAUGGGGGUUGUGUGGCCAUUGAUCAUCGACCAGAGGCUCAUACACCUCACCCCACAUAUGUUUCCUUGCCAUAGAUCACAUUCUUGGAUUUCUGGUGGAGACCAUUUCUUGGUCAAAAAUCCGUAGGUGUUAGCCUUCGUAUUAUUGAAAAUGGUCGUUCAUGGCUAUUUUCGACAAAAAUGGGGGUUGUGUGGCCAUUGAUCAUCGACCAGAGGCUCAUACACCUCACCCCACAUAUGUUUCCUUGCCAUAGAUCACAUUCUUGGAUUUCUGGUGGAGACCAUUUCUUGGUCAAAAAUCCGUAGGUGUUAGCCUUCGUAUUAUUGAAAAUGGUCGUUCAUGGCUAUUUUCGACAAAAAUGGGGGUUGUGUGGCCAUUGAUCAUCGACCAGAGGCUCAUACACCUCACCCCACAUAUGUUUCCUUGCCAUAGAUCACAUUCUUGGAUUUCUGGUGGAGACCAUUUCUUGGUCAAAAAUCCGUAGGUGUUAGCCUUCGGUAUUAUUGAAAAUGGUCGUUCAUGGCUAUUUUCGACAAAAAUGGGGGUUGUGUGGCCAUUGAUCAUCGACCAGAGGCUCAUACACCUCACCCCACAUAUGUUUCCUUGCCAUAGAUCACAUUCUUGGAUUUCUGGUGGAGACCAUUUCUUGGUCAAAAAUCCGUAGGUGUUAGCCUUCGUAUUAUUGAAAAUGGUCGUUCAUGGCUAUUUUCGACAAAAAUGGGGGUUGUGUGGCCAUUGAUCAUCGACCAGAGGCUCAUACACCUCACCCCACAUAUGUUUCCUUGCCAUAGAUCACAUUCUUGGAUUUCUGGUGGAGACCAUUUCUUGGUCAAAAAUCCGUAGGUGUUAGCCUUCGUAUUAUUGAAAAUGGUCGUUCAUGGCUAUUUUCGACAAAAAUGGGGGUUGUGUGGCCAUUGAUCAUCGACCAGAGGCUCAUACACCUCACCCCACAUAUGUUUCCUUGCCAUAGAUCACAUUCUUGGAUUUCUGGUGGAGACCAUUUCUUGGUCAAAAAUCCGUAGGUGUUAGCCUUCGGUAUUAUUGAAAAUGGUCGUUCAUGGCUAUUUUCGACAAAAAUGGGGGUUGUGUGGCCAUUGAUCAUCGACCAGAGGCUCAUACACCUCACCCCACAUAUGUUUCCUUGCCAUAGAUCACAUUCUUGGAUUUCUGGUGGAGACCAUUUCUUGGUCAAAAAUCCGUAGGUGUUAGCCUUCGUAUUAUUGAAAAUGGUCGUUCAUGGCUAUUUUCGACAAAAAUGGGGGUUGUGUGGCCAUUGAUCAUCGACCAGAGGCUCAUACACCUCACCCCACAUAUGUUUCCUUGCCAUAGAUCACAUUCUUGGAUUUCUGGUGGAGACCAUUUCUUGGUCAAAAAUCCGUAGGUGUUAGCCUUCGGUAUUAUUGAAAAUGGUCGUUCAUGGCUAUUUUCGACAAAAAUGGGGGUUGUGUGGCCAUUGAUCAUCGACCAGAGGCUCAUACACCUCACCCCACAUAUGUUUCCUUGCCAUAGAUCACAUUCUUGGAUUUCUGGUGGAGACCAUUUCUUGGUCAAAAAUCCGUAGGUGUUAGCCUUCGUAUUAUUGAAAAUGGUCGUUCAUGGCUAUUUUCGACAAAAAUGGGGGUUGUGUGGCCAUUGAUCAUCGACCAGAGGCUCAUACACCUCACCCCACAUAUGUUUCCUUGCCAUAGAUCACAUUCUUGGAUUUCUGGUGGAGACCAUUUCUUGGUCAAAAAUCCGUAGGUGUUAGCCUUCGGUAUUAUUGAAAAUGGUCGUUCAUGGCUAUUUUCGACAAAAAUGGGGGUUGUGUGGCCAUUGAUCAUCGACCAGAGGCUCAUACACCUCACCCCACAUAUGUUUCCUUGCCAUAGAUCACAUUCUUGGAUUUCUGGUGGAGACCAUUUCUUGGUCAAAAAUCCGUAGGUGUUAGCCUUCGGUAUUAUUGAAAAUGGUCGUUCAUGGCUAUUUUCGACAAAAAUGGGGGUUGUGUGGCCAUUGAUCAUCGACCAGAGGCUCAUACACCUCACCCCACAUAUGUUUCCUUGCCAUAGAUCACAUUCUUGGAUUUCUGGUGGAGACCAUUUCUUGGUCAAAAAUCCGUAGGUGUUAGCCUUCGUAUUAUUGAAAAUGGUCGUUCAUGGCUAUUUUCGACAAAAAUGGGGGUUGUGUGGCCAUUGAUCAUCGACCAGAGGCUCAUACACCUCACCCCACAUAUGUUUCCUUGCCAUAGAUCACAUUCUUGGAUUUCUGGUGGAGACCAUUUCUUGGUCAAAAAUCCGUAGGUGUUAGCCUUCGGUAUUAUUGAAAAUGGUCGUUCAUGGCUAUUUUCGACAAAAAUGGGGGUUGUGUGGCCAUUGAUCAUCGACCAGAGGCUCAUACACCUCACCCCACAUAUGUUUCCUUGCCAUAGAUCACAUUCUUGGAUUUCUGGUGGAGACCAUUUCUUGGUCAAAAAUCCGUAGGUGUUAGCCUUCGUAUUAUUGAAAAUGGUCGUUCAUGGCUAUUUUCGACAAAAAUGGGGGUUGUGUGGCCAUUGAUCAUCGACCAGAGGCUCAUACACCUCACCCCACAUAUGUUUCCUUGCCAUAGAUCACAUUCUUGGAUUUCUGGUGGAGACCAUUUCUUGGUCAAAAAUCCGUAGGUGUUAGCCUUCGGUAUUAUUGAAAAUGGUCGUUCAUGGCUAUUUUCGACAAAAAUGGGGGUUGUGUGGCCAUUGAUCAUCGACCAGAGGCUCAUACACCUCACCCCACAUAUGUUUCCUUGCCAUAGAUCACAUUCUUGGAUUUCUGGUGGAGACCAUUUCUUGGUCAAAAAUCCGUAGGUGUUAGCCUUCGUAUUAUUGAAAAUGGUCGUUCAUGGCUAUUUUCGACAAAAAUGGGGGUUGUGUGGCCAUUGAUCAUCGACCAGAGGCUCAUACACCUCACCCCACAUAUGUUUCCUUGCCAUAGAUCACAUUCUUGGAUUUCUGGUGGAGACCAUUUCUUGGUCAAAAAUCCGUAGGUGUUAGCCUUCGGUAUUAUUGAAAAUGGUCGUUCAUGGCUAUUUUCGACAAAAAUGGGGGUUGUGUGGCCAUUGAUCAUCGACCAGAGGCUCAUACACCUCACCCCACAUAUGUUUCCUUGCCAUAGAUCACAUUCUUGGAUUUCUGGUGGAGACCAUUUCUUGGUCAAAAAUCCGUAGGUGUUAGCCUUCGGUAUUAUUGAAAAUGGUCGUUCAUGGCUAUUUUCGACAAAAAUGGGGGUUGUGUGGCCAUUGAUCAUCGACCAGAGGCUCAUACACCUCACCCCACAUAUGUUUCCUUGCCAUAGAUCACAUUCUUGGAUUUCUGGUGGAGACCAUUUCUUGGUCAAAAAUCCGUAGGUGUUAGCCUUCGGUAUUAUUGAAAAUGGUCGUUCAUGGCUAUUUUCGACAAAAAUGGGGGUUGUGUGGCCAUUGAUCAUCGACCAGAGGCUCAUACACCUCACCCCACAUAUGUUUCCUUGCCAUAGAUCACAUUCUUGGAUUUCUGGUGGAGACCAUUUCUUGGUCAAAAAUCCGUAGGUGUUAGCCUUCGUAUUAUUGAAAAUGGUCGUUCAUGGCUAUUUUCGACAAAAAUGGGGGUUGUGUGGCCAUUGAUCAUCGACCAGAGGCUCAUACACCUCACCCCACAUAUGUUUCCUUGCCAUAGAUCACAUUCUUGGAUUUCUGGUGGAGACCAUUUCUUGGUCAAAAAUCCGUAGGUGUUAGCCUUCGUAUUAUUGAAAAUGGUCGUUCAUGGCUAUUUUCGACAAAAAUGGGGGUUGUGUGGCCAUUGAUCAUCGACCAGAGGCUCAUACACCUCACCCCACAUAUGUUUCCUUGCCAUAGAUCACAUUCUUGGAUUUCUGGUGGAGACCAUUUCUUGGUCAAAAAUCCGUAGGUGUUAGCCUUCGUAUUAUUGAAAAUGGUCGUUCAUGGCUAUUUUCGACAAAAAUGGGGGUUGUGUGGCCAUUGAUCAUCGACCAGAGGCUCAUACACCUCACCCCACAUAUGUUUCCUUGCCAUAGAUCACAUUCUUGGAUUUCUGGUGGAGACCAUUUCUUGGUCAAAAAUCCGUAGGUGUUAGCCUUCGUAUUAUUGAAAAUGGUCGUUCAUGGCUAUUUUCGACAAAAAUGGGGGUUGUGUGGCCAUUGAUCAUCGACCAGAGGCUCAUACACCUCACCCCACAUAUGUUUCCUUGCCAUAGAUCACAUUCUUGGAUUUCUGGUGGAGACCAUUUCUUGGUCAAAAAUCCGUAGGUGUUAGCCUUCGGUAUUAUUGAAAAUGGUCGUUCAUGGCUAUUUUCGACAAAAAUGGGGGUUGUGUGGCCAUUGAUCAUCGACCAGAGGCUCAUACACCUCACCCCACAUAUGUUUCCUUGCCAUAGAUCACAUUCUUGGAUUUCUGGUGGAGACCAUUUCUUGGUCAAAAAUCCGUAGGUGUUAGCCUUCGUAUUAUUGAAAAUGGUCGUUCAUGGCUAUUUUCGACAAAAAUGGGGGUUGUGUGGCCAUUGAUCAUCGACCAGAGGCUCAUACACCUCACCCCACAUAUGUUUCCUUGCCAUAGAUCACAUUCUUGGAUUUCUGGUGGAGACCAUUUCUUGGUCAAAAAUCCGUAGGUGUUAGCCUUCGGUAUUAUUGAAAAUGGUCGUUCAUGGCUAUUUUCGACAAAAAUGGGGGUUGUGUGGCCAUUGAUCAUCGACCAGAGGCUCAUACACCUCACCCCACAUAUGUUUCCUUGCCAUAGAUCACAUUCUUGGAUUUCUGGUGGAGACCAUUUCUUGGUCAAAAAUCCGUAGGUGUUAGCCUUCGUAUUAUUGAAAAUGGUCGUUCAUGGCUAUUUUCGACAAAAAUGGGGGUUGUGUGGCCAUUGAUCAUCGACCAGAGGCUCAUACACCUCACCCCACAUAUGUUUCCUUGCCAUAGAUCACAUUCUUGGAUUUCUGGUGGAGACCAUUUCUUGGUCAAAAAUCCGUAGUGUUAGCCUUCGGUAUUAUUGAAAAUGGUCGUUCAUGGCUAUUUUCGACAAAAAUGGGGGUUGUGUGGCCAUUGAUCAUCGACCAGAGGCUCAUACACCUCACCCCACAUAUGUUUCCUUGCCAUAGAUCACAUUCUUGGAUUUCUGGUGGAGACCAUUUCUUGGUCAAAAAUCCGUAGUGUUAGCCUUCGGUAUUAUUGAAAAUGGUCGUUCAUGGCUAUUUUCGACAAAAAUGGGGGUUGUGUGGCCAUUGAUCAUCGACCAGAGGCUCAUACACCUCACCCCACAUAUGUUUCCUUGCCAUAGAUCACAUUCUUGGAUUUCUGGUGGAGACCAUUUCUUGGUCAAAAAUCCGUAGGUGUUAGCCUUCGUAUUAUUGAAAAUGGUCGUUCAUGGCUAUUUUCGACAAAAUGGGGGUUGUGUGGCCAUUGAUCAUCGACCAGAGGCUCAUACACCUCACCCCACAUAUGUUUCCUUGCCAUAGAUCACAUUCUUGGAUUUCUGGUGGAGACCAUUUCUUGGUCAAAAAUCCGUAGGUGUUAGCCUUCGGUAUUAUUGAAAAUGGUCGUUCAUGGCUAUUUUCGACAAAAAUGGGGGUUGUGUGGCCAUUGAUCAUCGACCAGAGGCUCAUACACCUCACCCCACAUAUGUUUCCUUGCCAUAGAUCACAUUCUUGGAUUUCUGGUGGAGACCAUUUCUUGGUCAAAAAUCCGUAGGUGUUAGCCUUCGGUAUUAUUGAAAAUGGUCGUUCAUGGCUAUUUUCGACAAAAAUGGGGGUUGUGUGGCCAUUGAUCAUCGACCAGAGGCUCAUACACCUCACCCCACAUAUGUUUCCUUGCCAUAGAUCACAUUCUUGGAUUUCUGGUGGAGACCAUUUCUUGGUCAAAAAUCCGUAGGUGUUAGCCUUCGUAUUAUUGAAAAUGGUCGUUCAUGGCUAUUUUCGACAAAAAUGGGGGUUGUGUGGCCAUUGAUCAUCGACUAGAGGCUCAUAAACCUCACCCCACAUAUGUUUCCUUGCCAUAGAUCACAUUCUUGGAUUUCUGGUGGAGACCAUUUCUUGGUUAAAAACUCGUACGUGUUAGCCUUCGGUAUUAUUGAAAAUGGUCAUUCAUGGCUAUUUUCGGCAAAAUGGGGGUUGUGUGGCCAUUGAUCAUCGACCAGAGGCUCAUACACCUCACCCCACAUAUGUUUCCUUGCCAUAGAUCACAUUCUUGGAUUUCUG